rnacentral:rRNA from 1 species
AGAAUCAACGCUGGCGGCGUGCCUAACACAUGCAAGUCGAACGAGAAAGUGGAGCAAUCCAUUAGUAAAGUGGCGCACGGGUGAGUAACACGUGACUAACCUACCCUUGAGUGGGGGAUAACCUAGGGAAACCUGGGCUAAUACCGCAUAAUACCUUCGGGUCAAAGGAGCAAUUCGCUUAAGGAGGGGGUCGCGGCCGAUUAGUUAGUUGGCGGGGUAAUGGCCCACCAAGACUAUGAUCGGUAUCCGG